CAUGCAAGUCGAGCGAACAGAUAAGGAGCUUGCUCCUUUGACGUUAGCGGCGGACGGGUGAGUAACACGUGGAUAACCUACCUAUAAGACUGGGAUAACUUCGGGAAACCGGAGCUAAUACCGGAUAAGAUUUUGAACCGCAUGGUUCAAUAGUGAAAGACGGCCUUGCUGUCACUUAUAGAUGGAUCCGCGCCGUAUUAGCUAGUUGGUAAGGUAACGGCUUACCAAGGCAACGAUACGUAGCCGACCUGAGAGGGUGAUCGGCCACACUGGAACUGAGACACGGUCCAGACUCCUACGGGAGGCAGCAGUAGGGAAUCUUCCGCAAUGGGCGAAAGCCUGACGGAGCAACGCCGCGUGAGUGAUGAAGGUCUUCGGAUCGUAAAACUCUGUUAUCAGGGAAGAACAAACGUGUAAGUAACUGUGCACGUCUUGACGGUACCUGAUCAGAAAGCCACGGCUAACUACGUGCCAGCAGCCGCGGUAAUACGUAGGUGGCAAGCGUUAUCCGGAAUUAUUGGGCGUAAAGCGCGCGUAGGCGGUUUUUUAAGUCUGAUGUGAAAGCCCACGGCUCAACCGUGGAGGGUCAUUGGAAACUGGAAAACUUGAGUGCAGAAGAGGAAAGUGGAAUUCCAUGUGUAGCGGUGAAAUGCGCAGAGAUAUGGAGGAACACCAGUGGCGAAGGCGACUUUCUGGUCUGUAACUGACGCUGAUGUGCGAAAGCGUGGGGAUCAAACAGGAUUAGAUACCCUGGUAGUCCACGCCGUAAACGAUGAGUGCUAAGUGUUAGGGGGUUUCCGCCCCUUAGUGCUGCAGCUAACGCAUUAAGCACUCCGCCUGGGGAGUACGACCGCAGGUGAAACUCAAAGGAAUUGACGGGGCCGCACAAGCGGUGGAGCAUGUGGUUUAAUUCGAAGCAACGCGAAAACCUUACCAAUCUUGACAUCCUUUGACC
rnacentral:rRNA from 1 species